rnacentral:rRNA from 13 species
ACCUGGUUGAUUCUGCCAGUAGCAUACGCUUGUCUCAAAGAUUAAGCCAUGCAUGUCUAAGUA